rnacentral:rRNA from 1 species
UACAUGCAAGUCGAGCGGACAGAUGGGAGCUUGCUCCCUGAUGUUAGCGGCGGACGGGUGAGUAACACGUGGGUAACCUGCCUGUAAGACUGGGAUAACUCCGGGAAACCGGGGCUAAUACCGGAUGCUUGUUUGAACCGCAUGGUUCAAACAUAAAAGGUGGCUUCGGCUACCACUUACAGAUGGACCCGCGGCGCAUUAGCUAGUUGGUGAGGUAACGGCUCACCAAGGCAACGAUGCGUAGCCGACCUGAGAGGGUGAUCGGCCACACUGGGACUGAGACACGGCCCAGACUCCUACGGGAGGCAGCAGUAGGGAAUCUUCCGCAAUGGACGAAAGUCUGACGGAGCAACGCCGCGUGAGUGAUGAAGGUUUUCGGAUCGUAAAGCUCUGUUGUUAGGGAAGAACAAGUACCGUUCGAAUAGGGCGGUACCUUGACGGUACCUAACCAGAAAGCCACGGCUAACUACGUGCCAGCAGCCGCGGUAAUACGUAGGUGGCAAGCGUUGUCCGGAAUUAUUGGGCGUAAAGGGCUCGCAGGCGGUUUCUUAAGUCUGAUGUGAAAGCCCCCGGCUCAACCGGGGAGGGUCAUUGGAAACUGGGGAACUUGAGUGCAGAAGAGGAGAGUGGAAUUCCACGUGUAGCGGUGAAAUGCGUAGAGAUGUGGAGGAACACCAGUGGCGAAGGCGACUCUCUGGUCUGUAACUGACGCUGAGGAGCGAAAGCGUGGGGAGCGAACAGGAUUAGAUACCCUGGUAGUCCACGCCGUAAACGAUGAGUGCUAAGUGUUAGGGGGUUUCCGCCCCUUAGUGCUGCAGCUAACGCAUUAAGCACUCCGCCUGGGGAGUACGGUCGCAAGACUGNNNNNNGNGGGNNGCUAUACAUGCAAGUCGAGCGGACAGAUGGGAGCUUGCUCCCUGAUGUUAGCGGCGGACGGGUGAGUAACACGUGGGUAACCUGCCUGUAAGACUGGGAUAACUCCGGGAAACCGGGGCUAAUACCGGAUGCUUGUUUGAACCGCAUGGUUCAAACAUAAAAGGUGGCUUCGGC